rnacentral:sRNA from 1 species
AAAGAAGAUCGAAGAGAUCCUAAAGGAUCAUCUUCUCGAGAGACCCCGGGUAGAGCAGAGCAUCAUCAUCCUGGACAGUCUCGAUGAGCCGAAAGCCAUGAGCCCGUUACGUCUCUUAAAAACCUGCUUGCUCACUCCCAAACCACCAUUGCUAGGCUUUACAGCAUCGGCUGCUGCUGCUGCUUUCCUCACGAACAACGAUAUGAAGAAGCCCUCCAGGCCGUCCUCCGGGUCCGUCCGAAGCAGAUGCUCAGCUCCUUCAAAGACGGGGAGACCACGGCGUCGCCAUUGAGGGAAUGGAGUAGCGAGCUCGAAUCCGAGCGAUGACGCCAAUGGCAGGACGGAGCUCACGACGUCCUCGUUCUCAGCUUGGUGGAUUGAGCAGGUGCUGUAGACCACUCUCUCCACAGAGGGGACUGGGCAAGAGCAUGUGAGAGCGCUUUCCUCUGGAAGGCGGAGAGUUUCCUUAUCCUUGAACUCGUACUUGCAUCAUCCUGAUUACCUGCUGCGAAGGGAGCAAAUGGUCAAGUCUCUCUGUAGAGAUUCCGGAACCAGAGCAAGAGGGAUCUAAUAGAAUAGCUCGAACCUCGGCAUAUGAUGGAUCAUUGCUAUCGAUAUCCAAAAAGUCACCAUUGAUUAGAGGAUACUGUUUGCUCCGGAUCUUCGGAUAGUAUUUUGCAAAGUCUUGGUCCUCUCUUUAUUAAGUUCACAAGCUGUAAUACUCCCCUCUCCAUUCAUGAGUGCAGCAAGAUGGACUGUUUUAUUCCCUGGAGCCGCACAUGCAUCAAUAACCUAACCUGGCUCAGGGCAUAAUGCAACUGCCACCAUACAACUUGCUUUCCCCUGUAAAAAUACUUUUCCUUCUGAGACCAAAUGGUGGUUAUGCAAAUCAGUUCCAGGUGGGAGCACCAACAAGUCCGGAACCAAUUCAUGGAUGAAGUACCUUGUGUAUUUUGUUCAGUUCUUCGAUGACAGAAUCUGUACUGGUCCUGAGUGUGUUAACACGAAGAAACCUGGGUUUUGGUUUGACUGAAGAAAGGGAUAACAGUGAGUAGCUUGUAUGAAUACAAUUCCUCUAUUAGCAUAUGAUUUAAGCUUAGUGAGGACCAUAUGUAAUUAAUAUGUAGAAACCAAAACAUAUGCACAAAUUCAAUUAAUACACUUAUUUUCAAACAUUGUUAUGAUCCUAAUUUUGAAAACCAAGUCGGUUUUUCCGGGUGCAAAUGCGACUGGUGCUAUUAACUAUUAUCUGUGAUGGUAUUGCUAAAAAUAAAACCAACAGGUUAAACAGAGCUGGCCAUAAUAUGUCAAUUGUCAUAACAAAUCAACUGUACAUGGACAAAAGGAAAUGAACUCAUAAGCUACCUAUUAUAUGAAACAUUACAUGAACAAUGUAUAUUGAGUAUUGACAAAAUUGAACUGAGAUGCUCUGCAAAUGCAAGUGUAAGUUUGUAGCACAUUCUAAUUAUACAGUGUAAUUACAUGCUUCAUUACAGACUAGCACUUCUUUUAACUGCUACAAAAAAUUUAAACAUCGACUAAUGCAUUUGAUUUUGGAAGGGCAGGCUAAUUAGAUGGCUGAGAGAAGCAUUUAGAAGUAAUCAUAUCAUAUAACAGGAAUAAUGAAUGAAAAGCUUCAAAAGAACAGAGCGGAGAGAAGUACCUGUCCUUUUCUUGCUUACUAAGUCUUCAACACUACGAACCUUCCUUCUAAUACACAUUUUCUCAAGAGCAGCCAUAAUAGUAUCCUUAUGUAACAUAAUUAACUGUUCAACGGAUCCAGAAGCUGCUUAACUGACAAACCUGACCAAAGAGAAUGUCAUAGGCAGUCACGAAAACUAAUUCUUCCUGUUUCUGCAAGUUGAAAAAAAAAUACUCCAGUUGAUGCUAAAACCUCCUUUAGAAUUGGAAGAUACUUGAGGGUCUGGCAGACGAGGGCGAAGGUGGCGCGCUUGUUGCGGACGGAGGGGGAGUACACGAGCGACUUGAUGGAGCCCGCGGCGCGCCUGGACGCGUCCCCGCGGAGCACGCGGCGGAGCACCGCGGCCGCCUCGCGCCGCGCGAAGAACGCCGCCCGCUCCGCCGCGUCCCGGCUCGCCAUCCGUCGCCCAGGCGGCUUGCCCGGAGGCGGCCGGGGCGCGGGAACGUGGCCGCGGUUCUUCGACGGCGGCGGC